CCCUUAGACGUUCUGGGCCGCACGCGCGCUACACUGACGAAGGCAACGAGCUUUCCUUUACCGAAAGGUACGGGUAAUCUUUUGAAACUUCGUCGUGCUGGGGAUAGAUCCUUGCAAUUAUUGAUCUUAAACGAGGAAUUCCUAGUAAGCGCAAGUCAUCAACUUGCGUUGAUUACGUCCCUGCCCUUUGUACACACCGCCCGUCGCACCUACCGAUUGAAUGGUCCGGUGAAAUCUCCGGACUGGCGUGAGUCGGAGCAAUCUGACAAACGCCGGAAAGUUGAUUAAACCUUNCNAUUUAUNGGAAGGUGAANUCGUANCA
rnacentral:rRNA from 1 species